rnacentral:SRP_RNA from 1 species
UCGCUGGUCCUGUGCGAUGCGGCCCGUGAACUCCGUCAGGUCCGGAAGGAAGCAGCGGUAAGCGGUCAACCGCAUGUGCCGCAGACAAACCUGUGUCGG